GGAGCGGUAGAGAGAAGCUUGCUUCUCUUGAGAGCGGCGGACGGGUGAGUAAUGCCUAGGAAUCUGCCUAGUGGUGGGGGAUAACGUUCGGAAACGGACGCUAAUACCGCAUACGUCCUACGGGAGAAAGCGGGGGACCUUCGGGCCUCGCGCCAUUAGAUGAGCCUAGGUCGGAUUAGCUAGUUGGUGAGGUAAAGGCUCACCAAGGCGACGAUCCGUAACUGGUCUGAGAGGAUGAUCAGUCACACUGGAACUGAGACACGGUCCAGACUCCUACGGGAGGCAGCAGUGGGGAAUAUUGGACAAUGGGCGAAAGCCUGAUCCAGCCAUGCCGCGUGUGUGAAGAAGGUCUUCGGAUUGUAAAGCACUUUAAGUUGGGAGGAAGGGUAGUAACUUAAUACGUUGCUACUUUGACGUUACCGACAGAAUAAGCACCGGCUAACUUCGUGCCAGCAGCCGCGGUAAUACGAAGGGUGCAAGCGUUAAUCGGAAUUACUGGGCGUAAAGCGCGCGUAGGUGGUUCAGUAAGUUGGAAGUGAAAUCCCCGGGCUCAACCUGGGAACUGCUUUCAAAACUGCUGAGCUAGAGUACGGUAGAGGGUGGUGGAAUUUCCUGUGUAGCGGUGAAAUGCGUAGAUAUAGGAAGGAACACCAGUGGCGAAGGCGACCACCUGGACUGAUACUGACACUGAGGUGCGAAAGCGUGGGGAGCAAACAGGAUUAGAUACCCUGGUAGUCCACGCCGUAGACGAUGUCAACUAGCCGUUGGGAGUCUUGAACUCUUAGUGGCGCAGCUAACGCAUUAAGUUGACCGCCUGGGGAGUACGGCCGCCAGGUUAAAACUCAG
rnacentral:rRNA from 1 species